rnacentral:rRNA from 1 species
GGGCCCGCACAAGCAGCGGAGCGUGUGGUUUAAUUCGAUGCAACACGAAAAACCUCACCAGGAUUUGACAUGUCGGAAGUAGCGAACCGAAAGGGGAACUAACUGUUAAGCCAGUAACCGUCACAGGUGCUGCAUGGCUGUCGUCAGCUCGUGCCGUGAGGUGUAUGGUUAAGUCCUGCAACGAGCGCAACCCUCAUGGCUAGUUGUUUUCUCUAGCCAGACUGCCUCGCAAAACGGGGAGGAAGGUGGGGAUGACGUCAAGUCAGCAUGGCCUUUAUAUCCUGGGCUACACACACGCUACAAUGGGUGGCACAAUAGGUCGCAACAGUGCGAACUGAAGCUAAUCCCUAAAGCCAUCCUCAGUACAGAUUGCAGGCUGAAACCCGCCUGCAUGAAGUCGGAGUUGCUAGUAACCGCAAAUCAGCAUGUUGCGGUGAAUACGUUCUCGGGCCUU